UACGGGGGGGGGCAAGCGUUGUUCGGAAUUACUGGGCGUAAAGGGCUCGUAGGUGGCCAACUAAGUCAGACGUGAAAUCCCUCAGCUUAACUGGGGAACUGCGUCUGAUACUGGAUGGCUUGAGUUUGGGAGAGGGAUGCGGAAUUCCAGGUGUAGCGGUGAAAUGCGUAGAUAUCUGGAGGAACACCGGUGGCGAAGGCGGCAUCCUGGACCAACACUGACACUGAGGAGCGAAAGCCAGGGGGAGCAAACGGG
rnacentral:rRNA from 1 species